rnacentral:rRNA from 1 species
ACAGUCACACAUUAGAUACCCGCGUAGUCCCAGCCCUAAACGAUGCGCGUUAGGUGUAUCGGUGACCACGAGUCACCGAGGUGCCGAAGGAAACCGUGAAACGUGCCGCCUGGGAAGUACGGUCGCAAGGCUGAAGCUUAAAGGAAUUGGCGGGGAGCACCACAACGGGUGGAGCCUGCGGUUUAAUUGGACUCAACGCCGGGAAGCUCACCGGAUAAGACAGCGGAAUGAUUGCCGGGCUGAAGACUCUGCAUGACUAGCUG